GAAUAAAGGAUCAUGAUUCCAGAUUCUUAAGCAAGAAGAAAGUACUCAAAAAACAUUGCUUUGAGUAGAGACCAUGAAACACAAGGAGGAAGAUAAAGCUGAAAAGGUUCAAUAUCUCCUAUAUCAAGUGGAAGGGAUUAGAGAUUGAGACGAGUGAAGGAAUUGAAUAAGAGAGCAGAAGAAGAUCGAGUGGAACGAAAAAGAAGAAUUUGAAGUUAUCAAAAAAUGGUGCUACAUUAUCGACAACAAAGCGUGAAUGAAAAAAAGGAAAGGGGUCGUUGUAUGCAGG